GAUGAACGCUGGCGGCGUGCCUAAUACAUGCAAGUCGAGCGAACAGACGAGGAGCUUGCUCCUCUGACGUUAGCGGCGGACGGGUGAGUAACACGUGGAUAACCUACCUAUAAGACUGGGAUAACUUCGGGAAACCGGAGCUAAUACCGGAUAAUAUAUUGAACCGCAUGGUUCAAUAGUGAAAGACGGUUUUGCUGUCACUUAUAGAUGGAUCCGCGCCGCAUUAGCUAGUUGGUAAGGUAACGGCUUACCAAGGCGACGAUGCGUAGCCGACCUGGGAGGGUGAUCGGCCACACUGGAACUGAGACCCGGUCCAGACUCCUACGGGAGGCAGCAGUAGGGAAUCUUCCGCAAUGGGCGAAAGCCUGACGGAGCAACGCCGCGUGAGUGAUGAAGGUCUUCGGAUCGUAAAACUCUGUUAUUAGGGAAGAACAAAUGUGUAAGUAACUAUGCACGUCUUGACGGUACCUAAUCAGAAAGCCACGGCUAACUACGUG
rnacentral:rRNA from 1 species